GACGAACGCUGGCGGCGAGCUUAACACAUGCAAGUCGAACGGAAAGGCCCUGCUUGCAGGGUACUCGAGUGGCGAACGGGUGAGUAACACGUGGGUGAUCUGCCCUGCACUUCGGGAUAAGCCUGGGAAACUGGGUCUAAUACCGGAUAGGAGCCAUUUUUAGUGUGAUGGUUGGAAAGUUUUUUCGGUGUAGGAUGAGCUCGCGGCCUAUCAGCUUGUUGGUGGGGUAAUGGCCUACCAAGGCGGCGACGGGUAGCCGGCCUGAGAGGGUGGACGGCCACAUUGGGACUGAGAUACGGCCCAGACUCCUACGGGAGGCAGCAGUGGGGAAUAUUGCACAAUGGGCGCAAGCCUGAUGCAGCGACGCCGCGUGGGGGAUGACGGCCUUCGGGUUGUAAACUCCUUUCGCUAGAGACGAAGCUUUUUGUGACGGUACCUAGAUAAGAAGCACCGGCUAACUACGUG
rnacentral:rRNA from 1 species